GGGAGCUUAGCUCAGUUGGUUCAGAGCACUUGCCUUACAAGCAGGGGGUCACUGGUUCAAAUCCAGUAGUUCCCAC
rnacentral:tRNA from 1 species